AUGGCGGAAUCGAACUCGUACGAGGAGCAGCGCCGGAGGCAGGUGGAGGAGAACCGCCGGAAGCUGGAGGAGCUGCGCCUGCACCACCUCUCCGCCGCCGCUAGGCCCAAGCCCAACCCCAACCCCAGGCCGAAGCGCAAGGCCCCGGGCCCCGGCGAGCUCCGGCGGUCCGGCCGCGUCGCCGGCCUCCCGGAGCAGCCCAACUACCUCAAGGGCUCAGAGCAGCGCGGCUACCGCGGAGUGUACGAGGCAUACGCUGUUUGGAAAGGGCCGACCGACGAGGAGAGGGCCGCCGCCGUCGUUGCCGCCGCCGCCAAACAAAAGGCGGAGGAGCUCCAGCGCCGGAUCCACGGCAUCCUCUGGCCCGCCUUCGUCAAGCCCGUGACCCACGACUGCGCCAGCAGGGCCGCCGUGAUGGUAUUGCAGCCAUUCUUGGAUCGGAUUGGAUGUAUAUUAGGUGGGUUAUAUCUUAUACUAGAUCGGGUUCGCGCCGUAGCGCGAGGGUGCCGGUCAGAACGUUUAGACAAAACCAUGUAA
rnacentral:rRNA from 1 species